rnacentral:rRNA from 1 species
AUGAAGAGUGGCACGCUGGUGGCGAUCCUACUUCUCCAGACCGUCGUGGUCAUGGGGAUCCUCGCACACUCACAGGCCGCGGACGCGGACGACGAUUUCCCCAAGUGCUGCGACCACUGCAACUCCUGGUCGGGGGCCCAAUUCUGCGACGACGUGGGCCCCAGGUGCCGCGACGGCUGCGUCAACUGCCGCGUGGUGCAGACGCGCCCCGUGAAGACGUUCCGUUCCGGUGUGGAGAUGGACGCUCCGCCUUCCCGUACAUUCCCUGCCCGCCGCCGUGCAAAAACAACUGAUCGCUCCACCUCAUCACACGAUAACUUCCCCAAGUGCUGCGACAAGUGCGACUCCUGGUCGGGGUACCAGUUCUGUGACGACGUCGGCCCCAGGUGCCGCCACGGCUGCGCCAACUGCCAGGUGGUGCAGAUGAGGCCCGUGAAGACGUUCCGGUGUGGAGAUGGACGCCCCGUCUUCGACGGGCAGGGCACGCCCCCGCCCUGCCCGCCGCCGUGCAAAAAGCACUGA